UAUCGUUUUGCCUCUCCGCCGAAACACAACACAGUUGGUGAAGGGUGAAACAAGUUUCAACUGUUGUGUGGCCAUGGCUCUGAUUUUGCAUUCAACAGACAACAACAAAAAUGCCUCAAAGGCACUCAUUGCAGCUGAGUACACAGGUGUUAAGGUUGAUCUUGCAAAGGACUUCCAGAUGGGUGUAUCCAACAAGACACCUGAGUUUCUUGAGAUGAAUCCCAUUGGAAAGGUUCCUGUGCUUCAAACACCUGAUGGACCUGUUUUUGAGAGCAAUGCCAUUGCGCGUUAUGUUACCAAAACAAAGCCCAACAAUCCUCUUUUUGGCUCUUCAUUGAUUGAAUAUGCUCAAAUUGAACAAUGGAAUGAUUUUUCUGCCACUGAAAUUGAUGCAAACAUUGCACGAUGGCUGUACCCACGCCUUGGCUAUGCUGUUUACAUCUCUCAAGCUGAGGAAGGUGCAGUAGCUGCAUUAAAGAGAGCGCUUGGUGCUUUGAACACCCAUCUUGCAUCUAACACAUACUUGGUUGGACAUUUUAUCACACUGGCUGACAUCAUCAUGGUCUGUAACUUGAGCAUUGGUUUUAGGAUGAUAUUGACCAAGAGCUUUACCAAGGAAUUUCCACAUGUAGAGAGAUAUUUCUGGACUGUUGUUAAUCAGCCUAAUUUCGUCAAGAUAUUGGGUGAGGUGAAACAAGCUGAAUCUAUCCCUGCUGUGCAAUCCAAGCCUGCACAACCUGAAAAACUCAAGGCUAAGGAGGAGCCAAAGAAGGAGGUUAAGAAGGAAGAACCAAGUCCUGUAGAGGAGGAAGCAGCACCCAAGCCUAAGGCAAAGAAUCCUCUUGAUUUAUUGCCUCCAAGUAAGAUGAUUCUGGAUGAUUGGAAGAGGCUUUACUCCAACACCAAGACUAACUUCCGUGAGGUUGCUGUUAAAGGUUUCUGGGACAUGUAUGACCCCGAAGGAUAUUCUCUCUGGUUUUGUGAUUACAAGUACAAUGAUGAGAACACAGUUUCGUUUGUAACCUUGAACAAGGUUGGUGGUUUUCUGCAGAGGAUGGAGCUGGUACGCAAGUAUGCUUUUGGUAAGAUGUUGAUUGUUGGUUCUGAGGCCCCAUUCAAGGUGCAGGGCUUGUGGCUUUUCCGUGGGAAGGAAAUUCCCAAGUUUGUUAUGGAGGAAGUGUAUGACAUGGAACUCUAUGAAUGGAAGGAAGUAGACAUCAAUGAUGAGGCCCAGAAGGAGCGAGUUAGCCAAAUGAUUGAAGAUCACGAGCCUUUUGAGGGACAGGCUUUGUUGGACGCCAAGUGCUUCAAGUAAAAAACAACACUGUAUUGGAGAUUGAGCAAUGUUACCUUUUGACUGAGGCUGUAGUUUACUCUGGUUUUGUCCUCCCAAAUUUACUUAGAUUCUUGUUUUAAACACUAUCUUGUCUUAAGAGAAACUAUUAUCUUUGCAGUGUUUUUUUUCUUCAAGUUAUUGAUUUCAUAUGGUUCAUGGGAUAUCUGUGGUUGAAAUUUGUUAUCCUUUUCAACUAAAGCAGUUUUGACAGUCAGGUGAAUCACCCCUUUUAGCAUAUGCUAACUUCUAUUUAGACUGAUCAA
rnacentral:misc_RNA from 1 species